UGAGUAACCUGCCCUUAACUCUGGGAUAAGCCUGGGAAACCGGGUCUAAUACCGGAUAUGACUCCUCAUCGCAUGGUGGGGGGUGGAAAGCUUUUUGUGGUUUUGGAUGGACUCGCGGCCUAUCAGCUUGUUGGUGAGGUAAUGGCUCACCAAGGCAACGAUGCGUAGCCGACCUGAGAGGGUGAUCGGCCACAUUGGAACUGAGACACGGUCCAGACUCCUACGGGAGCAG
rnacentral:rRNA from 1 species